rnacentral:lncRNA from 1 species
AGAGCUGUCCUUUGUCCCCACUGUUUCCAUGGUCUAAGCAACAAGGUUGAAAUGUGCAAAAUGUGAUUUGUGCUCUGUUGGCUAAAGACAGCAGGUGUGUUGGUCAACAAGGGUGGAAAAGGAGGAAAGUGGUGGGCUCCAGGUGCAGAGAGGGGACCCAAGAAGGUCUAGAAAUGGCAGAGAGGAAGCAUCCACCACCCGGCGUGCACAUCACACAAAGACGGUUCUGCUUCCCUCGCCUGUUUAAUAUGAAACUCAGUGAGAAUUGAUGAAGUCAUUUUUUAAGCCAUAAAGCACUGCAAACACAUUUGUAUUAUUUUUCUUCUGUGCCAUGGGUAGUUUUUUUUUUUUUUUCAAUUCUCAGAUGUUUAGCAAACACGGGCUAUCUUCCAAAAAAUGUAAUUUUGUGGAUGGAUACAUUUAAAAAUGGUAUGCUUUGGUCAAGUCGGUAAUGUCUAUUUUUCUUUAUUGAUGACUUCUCGUUUCAGUGGGUCACUGACAAGAAAAUUCACCUGGAGGCCAAAUUGUCUCUAAUAACAAGUCCAAGACAUGCAUUCCAGCUGGAAUCCUCUUCCCGGAUGGUUGUGUGUUUUUAAUUGCAGUAGCCAUCUCCAAAAAUGCCAUCCAGUAACCAUGCCCUUGUGUGCUGCCCUUUCCAUGAAUCUGAGCUAGCCCCAUAAUUAGCUUUUGGCCAUUGGAUGGUGGUGGAAGUGAUGCUGUGUGACUUUUGAAGCUGAGUUACAAGCAGCCUUGGAGAGUCUUUCUAGACCUCGUGGAGGGCUCACUCUGGGGGAAGCCAACCAGCAUGUAAGGAGCAUAACUGCCCUGAGACCGCCGUGUUGUUAGGAUGCCCAGCUAGCUAUGUGGAGAAGCUGCAUAGACUGAGGGAGAAGCCCAGCUAGUCCCCAGUUAUUCCUGCCACCCUAACUGAGGCACCAGACCCAUGAGCAAAGAAACCAUCAUGGAUGUCCUGUCCCAUCCAGCUUCUGUGACUGUAACUGUAUGAGGACCCCAGUGAAAACCACGCAGCUGAGCCUAGUCAACACACAGAGCUAUGGAAG